rnacentral:rRNA from 1 species
GCCUUUAGAAGCAUUAAAGGUAAGGCCUGCUCACUGCUAAAGAGCUGCAGUAUCCUGACUGUGCAAAGGUAGCAUAAUAAGUCGCCCCUUAAUUGGGGGCUAGAAUGAAAGGCUAAACUGGGCAGAAGGUCUUAAAUCUUGAAUUUAAACUUAGGGUAAAAAUGCCCUAAUAAAUCUUCAGGACGAGAAGACCCUAGGAGCUUUUGGAGACCUUCAAUUGGGAAGAUUAAUGAGUAUACCAAACCUCUUCUAAGUUACCCUAGGGAUAACAGCGCAAUAUAACAUCUGAGUACUUAUUGGGUGUUAUGAGUGCGACCUCGAUGUUGAGUUGAGAGAUGCAGGAGUCUCAGUCUGUUCGACUGAUAAUUCCUCACA